AGCGGGCCCCCAGCCCGCCCCCUCCGGACAUGACACUGCCUUUUAAAGGGCCAUUCUGGGAUCGGGAUCUCACCGCCCAGGAGGAGGGAUCCUGGAGGGCGGGCACUGGGGGCUGCGGGUCAGGGACUCCCCGGACGUGCUUGCGACUUCGCCUGGGGAUGGGAACUACCUAUGCUGUUCCCAAUUCAGCGCCACCGUGACCCUGAGGCGUAAGUCCUCCUCCCAAGCAGAUACCUCCUGCAGCUCUAGAAAGAACUGGAGAGAGGAACGAUUAGAGAUCGGCACAGCUCAGAAGAAGAAAGGAAGGAGAGAAAGGUGGAAUCUCCACACACUGUCUGGCUCCUCAGACAGGCUGGCUGGGGAUGCUUCUGCCCUGGUAGACUGGUCUUGGAUAUACUGGCCCCUGGGCCACCAUGAAACAGCAAGUGCCACCUCUGAGCAUAUGCCCUAAGUGUCUACCUAUGUCCUGAUGAGUCACCCUGGCUGCUCACCCACUACCCCUGAAGCUUAUCUGCUGGGUCCCCAGCACCUUGGUAUGAUUCACCCUUGUUCUGCAGUUUCUGUCUGAGCCUGGCGUGAGGAAGGAUUAUUGCUUGGCCUUUGUAAGUGAAGAGCUUGCACGUCUCACUGCUGCACACUGGUUAAAUGGGGAAGUGGGGGCGGGGAAGGCAGCUGGUUGGUUCUGUCAUUCCCAUCUUAACAUUCCAACACAUUACCCUGUCCCUCCCAUCCAUCAAUCAUUUCACCUGCAAAGCCACAUCUCAUCUCAUUUCUGUUCAGACUGCAAUGGUCCCACCCUCCAAUACCACCUCUCUUUAAAACAAGAGAUUCAUCAAAGCUUUGGGACUGGGGCACUUUUCUCGAUUGCUAAAGUACUUACUUAUACAAGCAUGUGAACUAGAAUUUAAUCCCUGAAACCCAUGUAAAGAGCUGGUCAACUGAUCUGGAAAGAUGGCUCAAGGGUUAAGAGCAUUUACUGCUCUUCUACAAGACCCAGGUUUCAUUCCCAGCACCCAUAUGGUAGCUCACAACCAUCUGUAACUCCAGUUCCAACAUUCUUUCUCUGGCUUUCAUGGGCACCAGGCACACAGACAAGGUGCAGGUAAAACGCAUAUACAAAUAAAGUAAAUCUUAGAGAAAAAAAAAAAAAGAAGCUAAGCAUGAUGGUACACCUUUAAUCCCAACAUUGAAGAAGCAGAAACAGUUUGGAGCUUGCUGGUCAGCCAGCCUAACCUACCUGGUAAGUUCCAGGCCAAUGAGAAAUCCUGUCUCAAAACACCAAGAUAGGCCAAGCACGGUGGCAAUUGCAUUCCGUGCCAGCACUCAGGAAACAGAGGCAGGCAGAUAGAUCUCUGAGUCAGAGGCCAUCCUGAGCUACAUAGCAAAUUCCAAGCCAGCCAGGACUACACAGUAAUACUCCGCCUCUGAAAACCAAAACCCCAAACAAAACAAGAUGUGCACCAGCUGAGUCCACUCUUUCUUGUUCUCUACACUACAGAUCAAUGGUGUGAGCAUAUGCUUAUCAAUGGUGUGAGCAUAUGCUUUUCUAACAGUCUUAAGGAUUGGGGGUAGGAAAAGGCAACUGAAAUUCAUUCGAUCUACCAUUUUGAGCUAAUAUUUAAAGAGGUUGUUUGAAUGCUCAUGGCAUCCCUAUGAACUAAAUAUUAAUUAUCACUUUCAUUUUACCAGUGAGAAAAGCACGAUUAAAGCUAAAGGUGUAUAGUGUGUUUAAGAUGUCAUAGCUGAGAAAAAAAAAACAUGGGCAUCAUAGCAUAUGCCUUUUUAAUUACAAUACUUGGGAAACAGGCAGGUGGAUCUCUAUGAGUCUGAAGCCAGCCUGGUCUAUAUAGUGAGUUCAGGACAUAGCUUGGACUGUGUAGGAAACUCUGUCUGAGAAAAGAAAGAAAGGAAGGAAGGAAGGAAGAAAAAGAAAGAAAGAGAAAAGAACAGAUAUCAUGACUGACAAAGAAUAACACUGCAUUGCUGCUAAAUACAGAAACCAGAGCCAUGUCCCACACUGGUGAGUGAACCACAGUCUCAUCUAACUUUGUAGGUCUCUGUAAACUCUGGAUCCUCUGCCUCAGGACACACUUGAGAACUCCAACUGUACGCCAUGCUGCCAAAGACCUUCCAACACUGCCACUCCAUUUCUGUUCAUCCAUUCAUUCAUUCAUUCACCUGUACAUAGUGUUCUACACUGAGACUAGUUCAUCCAUUCGUCCACCUGCUCAUGACAUCACACACUGAGAAUAGCCAUGUUUUGGACUCUGUAAGAGCAAGCGGGACCUGGUCCCAGUCCUUGUGUACCUCUCUGCUGCUAAGUGGUCCCUCAUCUUUCAGAUGGAGAUGCUGAGAACGGAAGGGAGAAGACUUUCCAAGUUCACAUAGUGAGAGGGGCUGGAGAGACAGUGUGGCUGAUGAAGAGUUUGCCAAUCCUCAGAACUCACAAUUUAAGCAGAGGGUGGGGGAAGAUCUCGGUGUGUUGGUGCACACUUGAAAGUCCAGAAGAUAGGGAUGCAAAGAUCCCUGGGAUUUCUGGCCAGUCAGCUACUCUGGCAGUCCCAGACCCUAUCUCAAAAAGUUAAGGUAGAUGGUGCCUGAGCAGUGAUCCCCAAGGUGUCCCCAAGGUGUCCUCUGGCACAGACUCCCCGCCAUGAAAAAGUGUCAUAAUCACUACAGGGCUGACCAAAUCUCCUCUUUUUUACAAACUUGUUCCUAAUAUUCCCUGCCUUUUUGAAAAUAAAUUAGAUACGGAUACUGUUGAAAAACUGGAUUGCACACUACAGAUAUUUCUCCCAACAGUAGUUGUAGGCCUUACAACAUUUGUCUUAUGUUUCCAAAGCUAAAAUGACUUUUACAUGUUAUUUCUGCUUAGGAUAUGUUGAAAGCUAAGCGUAGUCAUGCAGACCAAUUACUUUGAUGCUGAAGCAGGAUAAUCAUGAGUAUGAACCCAGCUUACUACACAUAUAAUCUCCUUUUCAGACAUAUAAAAUAUGCCUUCUGUAACUUUUUUUAAUUAAAUGAUCCAUAUAGAAAUUCUUAAUGAAUUUCACUAGGUGGUGGUGGCACACACCCUUAAAUCCCAGGACUUGGGAAGCAGAAAGCAGAUCUUUGAGUCUGAAACAAACCUAGUCUACAGAGCAAGACACAGGGAAGCCGAGGCUAAGCAGAAAUCUUGUCUCCAAAAACCAAACCACAACAAAGCAAAAUCUAAAAGAAAAGAAAAGAAAGGAAAAAAAAGAAAAAAAAGUUUAUGAAUUUCAACGACAUUUAUGAAAGUUAGCAUGUUAAUAUUGACAAAUUAAAGGAAAAUAAAUGGAACACACAUGAAAGAUUUGCUGGGUUUUGCAAGUAGACCCAGAUCUAGAUAUUUUCUACAGAGCAGAAAUGACAUGAGAGGCUGAAGAGCUGGCUCAGUGGUUAAGAAUGCAUGCCGUUCUCACAGAGGACCUCAUAGAGACCCACAGUGACUCACAACCACCUGUAACUCCAAUGCCAAAGGGGUUAGAUGCCUGUGACCUUCAAGAGCACCAGCACUCAUACACACAUACAUACUCACUCACUCACUCACACACACACACACACACACACACACACACCUAAUUACAAAUAAAAACAGAUCUUUAAAAUCUACAUGUACCUAAUGUGCAACUACCCUGGGUUCAAUCCCUACCUGCAAAAAUUAAGCAAAACCUAACCUGCACGGCUUACUUAUGAAAUAAUAGUAAUACUCAUGUCCCCACUUGGCUUAAACACCUUUGCAUACGCAUAUUGAAAAGGGUCUCAUUGCAUUCCCCAUAUCCUUUAAACAUAUCCUAUAGCCCAGAGUGGUCUCAAAUUCACCAUCCUCCUACCUCAGCCUCCACAGUACUGGGCUUCAGGUAUACGCUACCAUUCCUGGUCAGCAACUCAGAUUGUUGACAUAUGCGUAUCUGCACUUUUUAAAAAAGUAUGUUGUAUAAGUAUUACUGUGUCAGUAAACACCACAUUAUUCUUCAAUUUCUAACAUGCGUUUGUUUAUUUAUGUAUUGUGUAUACACAACAACCUGCAGGAGAAAUUCUCUCCUUCUACCAUGUGUGCCCCGUGCAGUAGGGUGGUGGCAGGUACUUUUACUUGCUGAGUCAUCUCACCUGUCCACAACAUCAUAUUUAAUUGUAUAAGGCCCCAUUGUGGACCUUACGCUGUACUAUAUUGUCUAAUCAAUACCUUAUUUUUGAAAUUCAAAUUUGAUUUCCAACUUUUGCAACUGCAGAUCAACCUUAAUUAAUAUGCUCACAUUGUGCAAUAGUCUUCAGCUAAGAACUGUGGCUAACAUGGGCUGUAUGAUUUGGAGGAGACUUUAAGUCUUUGUGUCCUAACCUGCAAAAUGAAAUAAAUCCUGUGCUGUAUGUUGUAUUAGCUGA